rnacentral:sRNA from 1 species
GGCUGUGGUGCUGGCGGCGACGCGGUUGCUGCGGGGCUCGGGUUCUUGGGGCUGUUCGCGGCUGAGGUUUGGACCUCCUGCGUACAGACGGUUUAGUAGUGGGGGUGCCUAUCCCAACAUCCCCCUCUCUUCUCCCUUACCUGGAGUACCCAAGCCUGUUUUUGCUACAGUUGAUGGACAGGAAAAGUUUGAAACCAAAGUAACCACAUUGGAUAAUGGGCUUCGCGUGGCAUCUCAGAAUAAGUUUGGACAGUUUUGUACAGUAGGAAUUCUUAUCAAUUCAGGAUCGAGAUAUGAAGCGAAAUACCUUAGUGGAAUUGCUCACUUUUUGGAAAAAUUGGCAUUUUCGUCUACUGCUCGAUUUGACAGCAAAGAUGAAAUUCUGCUUACGUUGGAAAAGCAUGGGGGUAUCUGUGACUGCCAGACAUCAAGGUACACCAGCUUUUGCGUACAAACUGACUUUGGGUCCUUGGGAACUGACGUUCUUGUCGUUGCUCAGAUUCCC